ensembl:lncRNA
AUGGGAAGUGUGCUUGGACUGAGUGGACCACGCACUAAAGUAUCCAGUCCCUCUCAGAAACUGAUUCACAUAUCUACUCUACAAUCACACAUCGACAAGACCGAGAGGCCGGACACACACGCAGAGGGACGGACGCAAGCCUUUUGUCUUCCUGGAGACGUCCUUCGACACCAGGUAGGAGCAGUUUAUUUUGUGAAUUUGCUGAGCGUGUGUGAUUGUGACAGUGUGUUGGUGAAUCUUGUGGCAGAAUUUGAAGCCGACGUGAGGGGCGUGUGUACAUUUCUAUGUGGAAGUGCACGGACCUAUCAGCAUGCAGAUGUGCAUUACUGUGCCAGUGUUUGUGUGAUAUUUCCUGCAUUGGAAAACAUUGAAAAAGUCCACUACACUGCUGCAACCAUCGUCCUUUGUAUAAAGACGGUUGUACAUUUCACAUAGAGUUGCAAGGUGAGUCCAUUUGUGCAGUAGUGGCUUCAUUUGACAACAACAGUGUCAGUACUACUGUAGCUUCCAUUCUGCCAUGUCAUUCCACUCUCCGAUGUGCUCUAGUCAUUUCCAGAUUUUCAGUUUCUACAUGUAAUGAAAGUGUUCUGACCUGGACAGUGGUCAGGCCACCAGUGCAGUGUUCUGAUGUUGUGGUGGGUUCUGGAACCCAAAUGUAGUGGCUUGUAUUCUCCAGUACC